CGUUACUCGGAUUGAUUGGGUGUAAAGGGCAUGUANNNNNNNCGCUAAGUCGAACGUGAAAUCCCUUGGCUUAACCAAGGAACUGCGUUCGAAACUGGCGUACUUGAGUGUUGGAGAGGAAGAUGGAAUUCCCGGUGUAACAGUGAAAUGUGUAGAUACGGGAGGA
rnacentral:rRNA from 1 species